CGGGGCAUAGCUCAGUUUUGGCUAGAGUAUACGCUUGGGGUGCGUGGGGUCGCAGGUUCGAGUCCUGUUGCUCCGACCA
rnacentral:tRNA from 1 species